UACAGAGGUCUCAAGCGUUGUUCGGAUUCAUUGGGCGUAAAGGGUGCGUAGGUGGCAUGGUAAGUCGGAUGUGAAAUCCCGGGGCUCAACCCCGGAACUGCAUUCGAUACUGCUGCGCUAGAGUACUGGAGAGGAGAUUGGAAUUUACGGUGUAGCAGUGAAAUGCGCAGAUAUCAGGAGGAACACCAAUGGCGAAGGCAGCUCGCUGGAACGGUACUGACGCUGAGGCGCGAAAGCGUGGGGAGCAAACAGG
rnacentral:rRNA from 1 species